GGAGGGAGGAGACAAGGCAGGGCCACAGCGGGAGGCGGUAACGCGGCGCCGAGUGGUCUCUUGGGAGUUGUAGUUCUCCGACUGAAGAAAAAAGGGAUACAUCGUGGUUGAGGAAGCGUCCCGGCUCUCACUGCACUGCGCAUGCUCGGGGAGAGGCUCAGCCCCCUGCUGUUACUAUGGUCACCGACACACUGAGGAAGAGAACGUGUUCUUUGCUGCUGCUGGCUGAACAAGGGCCUUCUUGUCUUAAGGUCAGAUAUCAGGCCGAAGAUACUUCUUGGAGUCAAAUCACAGAGACAUUCUAGUGCUUGACCACAACACUUAUAUCCCUAUGGUAUUGAUGGCAGACAUCCGGGACUAUGAAUACAGUGAUGAACAGGUCCGGGGAAGCUCCUGAUGUCAAGAUCUACAAGGGAUGGGGAACAGUAAGAGGAAUGAGCUGGCAGGAGCAAGAACUGUUGGGAACAGCACAACAAGGCAGCGGGUGGGGGGUGGGAGCACCAGACUCUGUACAGUUACUAUUUAAUUCCCUCUUUGCAACCAUUCUGCAACUUGGAAGCAGCACUUUUUAGAUGAAGAAUUGAGGUUGUGAAUCGUUAAAUAAAUUUUCCCCAAAUUACAUAAUUAGUAAAUAGUAAACCAGGUCUGUUGUCUGACAUGAAAGGUUAAUUUCUUUCUCCCAUACCUCACUACUAUAACAAACCCCCAGAAACAGGAACCUACAGAAACAUUUAGUCUACCAUCCUGUAUAAAAGGGAAGAGCCCUGAAUGCUAUACCAGCCUGUGAGGGCUUUGUUGAAUACAUAAAGUAGUUGAAUAUAAAAAUGGUACAAUAAAAUAUGUACAAUUAAGACCUUAAUAAUCAAGAACCAGUGGCAUUAUGUUAAUUACUCUCUGUUAAAGAACACAGGGGAAAGUAUAGCAUAUUUUGAAAAGUCUAAAAAUAGAUACGGUUAAAGUAAAACUUGUGCAUUUAAAGGGAUGAGCUUCAAGUAUCUGGAAAAUUCUCCUAUGUGGAAUACCUUUUUUCUAAUGAUAACAGACAAACCAAGUUUCCUAUUUUGGGAAACAGUACAAAUAGACAUAUUAAAAUAAAGGUUAAGAAAAUUUUGUAUCAUAGGGCCCAAUAAAAACAGUGCCAACACUUUCAUACCAACUUAGAUUAUGU